rnacentral:rRNA from 1 species
AGACAACUCUCAACAACGGAUAUCUUGGCUCCCGCAACGAUGAAGAACGCAGCGAAACGCGACAUUUAGUGUGAAUUGCAGAAUUCCGUGAAUCAUCGAGUCUUUGAACGCAUACUGCGCCCGAGGCUCGUCCUCAGGGCAUGCCUGCCUCAGCGUGC